UUAAAAACGAAACGUCCUGUCUUCUACUUCCAAUCACUUAAUUCACAUCCUAUCUGAGGGUUUCACCCUUUCUUAUUUCAUUUUUUUUUCGGGUAUGUGCAAGUUCCAGAGAUGAAACUGGUCUCAUGGACGUUAAUUAGGAUUAUGGCUUAAACGUUUCAAAUCCUGGUGAUAAUGACAUAUUGUUCGGCCGGGGAAGUGCAACUCAUCCCGGAAUGUGAAAAGCUUUGGAUGAGGAGAAAAACCCAGAGACCUACAUACGAAGACUCCUCUAAUUGCUAAAUCAUAGUGCUUGAAGAUGCAUUGACAAGAGGAAAUACAACACCAUGAUGUCUAUGAUGAUGAUGAUCAAUUCGUUUGUCACAUAAAAAGACGAAGAAUGUGAGGAGGUGGUGCGUUAGUGCAAGAGUGGAGAGAAUGAAAGUGUUGUAAGUUCUGUUAGUAGUUUGGUCGGAAAACUCAGUUAAAGUAGAGGCCAAAGUUAUCUUAGAUUGUUGCACCUCCAAUGCAAAUAAUGCAAAUGGGUAUGUAUAUGGGUGUGUAUGUGUCCAUAAUCCAUUGCAUAUAGUAAGUGGAAAAGCUUAAGUGAUUAGCAUGAAUUCUGCCGCAUGAUCUUUUGUGUGCUCUACCAGUUCUAGAUACAAAAUCAAAUCAACUUUUACUUUGAUGGAAAAUGAUUGACAAGUAACAAA